UACGGGAGGCAGCAGUGGGGAAUUUUGGACAAUGGGGGGAAACCCUGAUCCAGCCAUCCCGCGUGUGCGAUGAAGGCCUUCGGGUUGUAAAGCACUUUUGGCAGGAGGGCAAAACGGCACGGGGAUAAUGUUCCGCAACUGACGGUACCCGAAUAAGCAACCGGCUAACUACGUGCCAGCAGCCGCGUGUAAUGUAGGGUGCAAGCGUUAAUCGGAACAUACUGGGCGUAAAGCGUGCGCAGGCGGUUCGGAAACAGGAAUCCCAGAGCUUAACUUCUUCUUUGGAACUGCAUUUUUUAACUACCGAGCUAGAGUGUGUCAGAGGGAGGUGGAAUCUCGCGUGUAGCAGUGCGGAAAUGCGUAGAUAUGCGGAGGAACACCGAUGGCGAAGGCAGCCUCCUGGGAUAACACUGACGCCUGCGCACGAAAGCGUGGGGAGCAAACAGGAUUAGAUACCCCGGUAGU
rnacentral:misc_RNA from 1 species